rnacentral:rRNA from 1 species
UAGUCGAGUGACACUGCGCCGAAAAUGUACCGGGGCUAAACAUAUUACCGAAGCUGUGGAUUGUCCUUUGGACAAUGGUAGGAGAGCGUUCUAAGGGCGUUGAAGCAUGAUCGUAAGGACAUGUGGAGCGCUUAGAAGUGAGAAUGCCGGUGUGAGUAGCGAAAGACGGGUGAGAAUCCCGUCCACCGAUUGACUAAGGUUUCCAGAGGAAGGCUCGUCCGCUCUGGGUUAGUCGGGUCCUAAGCUGAGGCCGACAGGCGUAGGCGAUGGAUAACAGGUUGAUAUUCCUGUACCACCUAUAAUCGUUUUAAUCGAUGGGGGGACGCAGUAGGAUAGGCGAAGCGUGCGAUUGGAUUGCACGUCUAAGCAGUAAGGCUGAGUAUUAGGCAAAUCCGGUACUCGUUAAGGCUGAGCUGUGAUGGGGAGAAGACAUUGAGUCUUCGAGUCGUUGAUUUCACACUGCCGAGAAAAGCCUCUAGAUAGAAAAUAGGUGCCCGUACCGCAAACCGACACAGGUAGUCAAGAUGAGAAUUCUAAGGUGAGCGAGCGAACUCUCGUUAAGGAACUCGGCAAAAUGACCCCGUAACUUCGGGAGAAGGGGUGCUCUUUAGGGUUAACGCCCAGAAGAGCCGCAGUGAAUAGGCCCAAGCGACUGUUUAUCAAAAACACAGGUCUCUGCUAAACCGUAAGGUGAUGUAUAGGGGCUGACGCCUGCCCGGUGCUGGAAGGUUAAGAGGAGUGGUUAGCUUCUGCGAAGCUACGAAUCGAAGCCCCAGUAAACGGCGGCCGUAACUAUAACGGUCCUAAGGUAGCGAAAUUCCUUGUCGGGUAAGUUCCGACCCGCACGAAAGGCGUAACGAUUUGGGCACUGUCUCAACGAGAGACUCGGUGAAAUCAUAGUACCUGUGAAGAUGCAGGUUACCCGCGACAGGACGGAAAGACCCCGUGGAGCUUUACUGUAGCCUGAUAUUGAAAUUCGGCACAGCUUGUACAGGAUAGGUAGGAGCCUUUGAAACGUGAGCGCUAGCUUACGUGGAGGCGCUGG